UCUGGGACGCCGGAGACGCGCGGCCGCGGGGCCGUGCGCAAGCGGGGAAGGGGCAAGCGGAUCCCUCUCUCCGGGGGGCGUGGCUUGUGCCGCCCGCCCGCCCCGCCGUCUCCAUGACGACGCGUGUCCCGGCACCUCCCCGCCGCCGCCGUGUCUGUGACGCCACGGUCUCGCCACCUGACGUCAUAACGGGCGGUGCCGUGGGGCGUGGUUUGCGUGGGCGCGGCGGGUGGUCGGUGGGCGCGGGGCCCGGGCGAGUCGCUGUGGCUCCGAGGGCAUUGCUGCGCCGCGAGGAAGCGGUCGUGCGGAGAGGCCCGCGAGUAGAGGCAGGGUGACCUGUUGACCUGAGCUUCCUAAGACCUUGGAAUUUCAACAGACCAGCAAAGCCCUGACACAGACACCGAGUAUGGGUCCUGCAGUGCCCUUUGGAGGACGCGGUAGCUGCAUGCAGCGCCGCCGCGCACCCCGCUCCCUAAGUCUCAGGUGGAGGGAUGUGGAUACGGGGUAGCCCCCGAGAAGCCCACCUGACAGAGCAGGAAUGUCAGAGGUGUGUACACGCUCUGCUUCCCGGCUGCCCGGCCAUACCCCAUCAUGGUCUUCCGUCUCUGCUCAGCCCCAGAGCAGCGGUCAACUGACCAUAAACUGAACCUCUGAAACCGUGAGUCCCAAAUAAACAUUCUCU